UACGUAGGGUGCAAGCGUUAUUCGGAAUUAUUGGGCGUAAAGCGUGCGCAGGCGGCUUUGCAAGACAGAUGUGAAAUCCCCGGGCUCAACCUGGGAACUGCAUUUGAGACUGCAUGGCUUGAGUGCGGCAGAGGGGGAUGGAAUUCCGCGUGUAGCAGUGAAAUGCGUAGAUAUGCGGAGGAACACCGAUGGCGAAGGCAAUCCCCUGGGCCUGCACUGACGCUCAUGCACGAAAGCGUGGGGAGCAAACAGG
rnacentral:rRNA from 1 species